AAAGUCAGGGCCAAACUGGAAAUAAGGAAUGACCUAUUUGAAAAGAAAAUUGGAAAACUUUGACAAAAGUAUAAAAAAUAGAAACCAGGCCACGUAGGACCGCCACGUCAGUAGUGCGGCAAGUCACCGUACGUCGCGUGGCAGACACAUGGAUAUGCAUCCAUACGGGAAGCCACACGGGCGACCUGCGUGCCAACAGAUCCAACUGCCCAGAUCUAUUUUCACACACAUGAACGGCCCAAAUUUGUUUCCCUUUCAAGCACGAUUGAAUGGUCCUGAUUGCAUCCGAUUGUUCGGUCCUUAUUCAUUUUCUAAAAAAGGAAAAUCUAGCGAUUGAGAUUGCGCCACGCGUCCUCCAAUAGACGACCCAGAUCAAAAGUGGAGAGGUAUUUAAACCUCUCCACCCGGACACAAAAAAAUCCUAGCCGCCAAGAGGUAAUUGGAGAAGAAACUAGAUAAUAAGCAUUAGAGAGUACAUAAUGGUGAUUUAGACGUCCUAUAACAUAGCUGAAUCUUGAGAGUA
rnacentral:lncRNA from 1 species